rnacentral:rRNA from 1 species
AACCAGCACCUCAAGUGGUCAGGAUGAUUAUUGGGCCUAAAGCAUCCGUAGCCGGCUCUGUAAGUUUUCGGUUAAAUCUGUACGCUCAACGUACAGGCUGCCGGGAAUACUGCAGAGCUAGGGAGUGGGAGAGGUAGACGGUACUCGGUAGGAAGGGGUAAAAUCCUUUGAUCUAUUGAUGACCACCUGUGGCGAAGGCAGCCCCCUGGGAUAACACUGACGCUCAUGCACGAAAGCGUGGGGAGCAAACAGG